UACGUAGGGACCAAGCGUUGUUCGGAUUUACUGGGCGUAAAGCGCACGUAGGCGGCUUGGCAAGUCGGAUGUGAAAUCCCUCGGCUCAACCAAGGAAGUGCAUCCGAAACUGCUGAGCUUGAGUACUUAAGAGGAUCGCGGAAUUCCCGGUGUAGAGGUGAAAUUCGUAGAUAUCGGGAGGAACACCAGUGGCGAAGGCGGCGAUCUGGGUCGAUACUGACGCUGAGGUGCGAAAGCGUGGGGAGCAAACAGG
rnacentral:rRNA from 1 species